GGUCAGGUGGCAAAGGGGUCUGAGCAAUCUGAUCUCUUUAAAGAUGUUCCUGCUUAUGGCAGGAUACUUGCACCUGAUGACCUUUACAGAGCCCUGCCAGCCCAGCCCAGUCUAGGACUCCUCACCGUUUUCAUUUGAAGAGCACCAAGAGUGGAGGUGAGGAGGAAGGGGGCUCAUCUGAUGCCUUGGACUUAAGUAGAGGAGGAGCCCAUCCCUCACACCUGGUUUCACCUGUGGCCCCUUUGCAUUUUACCUGCAGGAGCUCCUUGGCAGACCAGCGCUGCUCCUUGUCUGUCUGCAGGCAGCAGCUCAGGAAGUCACACAGCCAAGGUGAAAACAGGUUGGGCUCCUGCAGCUUUUCUUUCCCUCCUGUGCCUAUCAGGAUUUGAGGCUGGGGAAAAAGGAAACAGGGAGGUUCCACCUGCUGCUUUGCCCAUCUGUAACUUUGCCCAUCUCCCUGAGCCCAUUGUUUAAGCUUCAUUCUGCAGUGGCAGUUUCUGCCCUGGCAGAGACCCAGAGAUGACUUUCCUUCACCUACAAAAAACCCAAACCCCACAUUUUUUCCAACAUCCUACAGAUCUUGACUUGGCAGCUGAUUUCAUUGACUGACCUAACAAGUGGGAACUACAUCAGCAAAGCAUGUUUGAUUCUCUGAGAAUUCACACCAGCUUGAUAGGGUUUUUGGAAGAGGGACUUUGCUAUACUAACUCUGCUAUUUCCAAGGAUUAGUACAAGAAAGGCAUCUCUGCCAUGCUUGUUGGUCCCUUAAGCAGAGCUGCCAUAAAACAAAGCUCAUCAAGUUCUCUCCUUUGUUCUUGAAAACAAUGGUAAUUGGAAGGAAAGAAAGGAAAUCCACCAGGUAUUCCUCAGGGGCAUCUUCACAGACAGACAAGUGGGAACAAUUUGAAACCCAAAGCAAAGUGUUGCCUCAGAAGAGUUGGGGAGUGUUUGCCUGUGUUAAGGCUUGAGCUGUCUGGCAAUCCCCUUACAUCCAUGUGCAGAAACACCCAGCUGCUCCCCAGAUCUCAGUCCCUCUGGGCACACAGGCCUCAGGAAAACGAUUCCAGCCUUUCUCCUGCUCAAGAGCAUCUAACCUAAGCUGAGCUCCAGUUUCUUCAGUAAAGUCAAGGACGUUCUCUUCCAUGCAGCUGACAGUGUUCAUGGAGCUCAGCAGGUCUUCCUGAUAUUCCUCAGGCCAAGGAAUUACAGUGGAAUUUGGCCAGACAUCAGAUGAACAUUAUCCAAUGUGGUUCAUGUGGAACCAAGCUCUAACGCUGACAAGCCAAAGGGAGAGAGCUCAUUCUGCUUUUGAAAGAUGUCAGUUAGAAACAUAAGACACAGACUUGGAACUACUCAAACCUCAGCGUGCAGAAUCCAUCUAAAAUAGACCACAAUCAUAAUGGCAAGGGGCGUUGGAGUCUUGAUAAAAACGCCCACCACGAUAAUAAUAACUCUGCCCUAGUGGCAGUGAAAUCAAUGGUGGCCAAAGAGACUUUAUUACUUUCCUCUUCAAACCAAAGGAAAAUUUCCAAGCCUAAAAUAGCCAAUGUA